UACGGGGGAGCAAGCGUUGUUCGGAUUUACUGGGCGUAAAGGGCGCGUAGGCGGUCAGCACAAGUCAGUUGUGAAAUCUCCGGGCUUAACUCGGAAAGGUCAACUGAUACUGUGCGACUAGAGUGCGGAAGGGGCAACUGGAAUUCUCGGUGUAGCGGAUGAAUGACGUAGAUAUCUGGAGGAACACCGGUGGCGAAGGCGGCGAUCCUGGACCGACACUGACGCUGAGGAGCGAAAGCCAGGGGAGGCAAACGGG
rnacentral:rRNA from 1 species